UUUACUGGGGGUUCAGUCUUAGCAGGACCCAGGGCUUCCCCUUCCACUGGUGCUCUUACUAGGAUAUUCAUUGCUACCUAUGAGGUCAGAGUCCAGGGUCAGUCCAUGUAUAGUCUUUAGGUAGUGGCUUAGUCCCUGGAAGCUCUGGUUGCUUGGCAUUGUUGUACAUAUGGGGUCUCGAGCCCCUUCAAGCUCUUCCAGUUCUUUCUCUGAUUCCUUCAACGGGGGUCCUAUUCUCAGUUCAGUGGUUUGCUGCUGGCAUUCGCCUCUGUAUUUGCUGUAUUCUGGCUGUGUCUCUCAGGAGCGAUCUACAUCUGGCUCCUGUCGGUCUGCACUUCUUUGCUUUAUCCAUCUUGUCUAAUUGGGUGGCUGUAUAUGUAUGGGCCACAUGUGGGGCAGGCUCUGAAUGGGUGUUCCUUCAGUCUCUGUUUUAAUCUUUGCCUCUCUCUUCCCUGCCAAGGGUAUUCUUGUUCCCCUUUUAAAGAAGGAGUGCAGCAAUCACAUUUUGAUCAUCCGUCUUGAGUUUCAUUUGUUCUAGGCAUCUAGGGUAAUUCAAGCAUUUGGGCUAAUAGCCACUUAUCAAUGAGUGCAUACCAUGUAUGUCUUUCUGUGAUUGGGUUACCUCACUCAGGAUGAUAUUUUCCAGGUCCAACCAUUUGCCUACGAAUUUCAUAAAGUCGUUGUUUUUGAUAGCUGAGUAAUAUUCCAUUGUGUAGAUGUACCACAUUUUCUGUAUCCAUUCCUCUGUUGAAGGGCAUCUGGGUUCUUUCCAGCUUCUGGCUGUUAUAAAUAAGGCUGCGAUGAACAUAGUGGAGCACGUGUCUUUUUUAUAUGUUGGGGCAUCUUUUGGGUAUAUGCCCAAGAGAGGUAUAGCUGGAUCCUCAGGCAGUUCAAUGUCCAAUUUUCUGAGGAUCCUCCAGACUGAUUUCCAGAAUGGUUGUACCAGUCUGCAAUCCCACCAACAAUGGAGGAGUGUUCCUCUUUCUCCACAUCCUCGCCAGCAUCUGCUGUCACCUGAGUUUUUGAUCUUAGCCAUUCUCACUGGUGUGAGGUGAAAUCUCAGGGUUGUUUUGAUUUGCAUUUCCCUUAUGACUAAAGAUGUUGAACAUUUCUUUAGGUGUUUCUCAGCCAUUCGGCAUUCCUCAGCUGUGAAUUCUUUGUUUAGCUCUGAACCCCAUUUUUUAAUAGGGUUAUUUGUUUCCCUGCGGUCUAACUUCUUGAGUUCUUUGUAUAUUUUGGAUAUAAGGCCUCUAUCUGUUGUAGGAUUGGUAAAGAUCUUUUCCCAAUCUGUUGGUUGCCGUUUUGUCCUAAACACAGUGUCCUUUGCCUUACAGAAGCUUUGUAGUUUUAUGAGAUCCCAUUUGUCGAUUCUUGAUUUUAGAGCGUAAGCCAUUGGUGUUUUGUUUAGGAAAUUUUUUCCAGUGCCCAGAUGCUUCCCUAAGUUUUCUUCUAUUAGUUUGAGUGUGUCUGGUUUGAUGUGGAGGUCCUUGAUCCACUUGGACUUAAGCUUUGUACAGGGUGAUAAGCAUGGAUCGAUCUGCAUUCUUCUACAUGUUGACCUCCAGUUGAACCAGCACCAUUUGCUGAAAAUGCUAUCUUUUUUCCAUUGGAUGGUUUUGGCUCCUUUGUCAAAAAUCAAGUGAACAUAGGUGUGUGGGUUCAUUUCUGGGCCUUCAAUUCUAUUCCAUUGGUCUAUCUGUCUGUCUCUGUACCAAUACCAUGCAGUUUUUAUCACUAUUGCUCUGUAAUACUGCUUGAGUUCAGGGAUAGUGAUUCCCCCUGAAGUCCUUUUAUUGUUGAGGAUAGUUUUAGCUAUCCUGGGUUUUUUGUUAUUCCAGAUGAAUUUGCAAAUUGUUCUGUCUAACUCUUUGAAGAAUUGGAUUGGUAUUUUGAUGGGGAUUGCAUUGAAUCUGUAGAUUGCUUUUGGUAAAAUGGCCAUUUUUACUAUAUUAAUCCUGCCAAUCCAUGAGCAUGGGAGAUCUUUCCAUCUUCUGAGGUCUUCUUCAAUUUCUUUCUUCAGUGUCUUGAAGUUCUUAUUGUACAGAUCUUUUACUUGCUUGGUUAGAGUCACACCGAGGUACUUUAUAUUAUUUGGGUCUAUUAUGAAGGGUGUCGUUUCCCUAAUUUCUUUCUCGGCUUGUUUCUCUUUUGUGUAGAGGAAGGCUACUGAUUUAUUUGAGUUAAUUUUAUACCCAGCCACUUUGCUGAAGUUGUUUAUCAAGCUAUCCCUUUAUACUGGAAGCAUUUAACUGACUAGAAGAAAGGCUAUGACUCAGUCCAAGGUGACACAGAAGGACAUUAGCAUGACCAAUAGGAAGCAUGGAAAUAGGAGAUCCUCUGUAAAUGCUAGUGGUGAGUUCCUGAGCAGGCUGUCUCAUUAGAAGGAGGUAGAGAGAGGCAGACACAUGUCUUCUGAACUUGGUCUUGAGACACAAUAGAGGAAGGAAGGAGACUGAAAGAUUUCUGGAAGUUCUUAGAGCAUCAGUUAGGGGAAGCUGCUAGGGUUGGGGAAGAGGGACCACUUGAGUAUGUCCGCAUUAUCACGAUGCCUUUUCUUUAUUCAUCAUAAUACUUUUCAAUGUUAUUUUAUGUUACAUGUUGAACAUUUCUUCCUGCUUAGUCAGGCUUUCUUUUACAGUUAUAAGACUAAACACUAAGAUUUCAUUUGUAAAUAUAAUUUAUAGAGAUGACUUAAUGUUUCCUGAUAGUGCUUUCUUUUCUUAGCUUUGAAUUCUCCAGAUGUGUGAUUUGCUGGAGUAUGCUUCCACUGACCUUCAAGAGUUAUUUGCAAAUUGUCAUGGCCAGUUGGUUAAAGUUUCCAGCUAGAUGGUCCUUGCCCUCAGCCUCUUUUUUUUACGAUUCCAUAUGGAAGUCCUGAUCAUAUUGUAGGCUCCACAGAGCUGUUUUGCUCCUUCAUGGUCCAUGAAAGCACAAUUGUUAGGAAGCAAAGGACUUCCUUGUGCAGUGUCUGGCCCCUAAAAGUGAGUGUCCCACGUUUGUAUGCAUCAUAUCUGGAGUUGAGCUUCUAAGACAGAUGACUUUUCUCUUUCUGUCUCCUGUAAGUCACGGUGUAAGAGCACAGUGUGUUUACUGGAGCAAGAUUCCGCCAAUGGGUGUGGCUUGAAGUCGAGAGUUUAUGAACUGUGUAGCUUCUGCUAUUGUCUGAAGCAUUUCCUCUCGUGUCUCAGAGUUUCAUGCUUUCUCAGGCAAGGCCAGUUUUAUAUCCAGAUAAAUGUCUGGGUUUUCUUACUCCUAGGGUGAGAAGAGUAGGGGAAGUGGGCUGAUGAGUGGUGGUUGUGGUGUUUUCUUUCUGGCAGGGACUUUAUUGUGGGAGGAAGGUCUGUCUUCUAUAAAAUAGUAAAAUAAAAUUUAAAAAACCAGAAUGACUGUAACUAUUCUCAAUAAGAAAAUGAUUUCUGUUACUAUAAAGUGAGGAAAAUAGCAAUAAGGUUUGGGGGGGAAACGCUGUAACCAUUAAAAAAUAAGGAAGAUAAGGAACUGGUCACAGAAAAGUCUCUGAGAACAGUGAAGUUCAGGCAGAUCUAUUCAUUUUGAGUUGUCAUGGAAACAGAAAGAAUGAUAGUGAGUCUCCUCCCACUAAAUCAAUAAAACCGGUUUUUGUUUUGCUCUGGGAGUCACCAAGCAUACUGAGCUCUGGUAUGGAGAAAGCCAGUUUUCAUAGCAUUAACAACCUCAUCUUGCGGUAAGCAACUUGAAAAGCACCGUAGCCAGAAUAAAAACCCACAAUGUAUGCAUAGGAGGCAGUGCCCUCAAAUAAGAUUAGGGCCUCUUCUGGCCACCUGCUGUUCUGGGUCCUGUUUCUCUGUAAAUGUUUGAUGUUAAGCCAAUUUGUUUUAUUUUUCUUAAUAGAUCUGUGUAUCACUCAUGAGAUCAACUCAGUGUAAACAACAAGGUAAAAUGCAUAUUCACAUUUAAUCUACCUAUAGCACAUAGCAUGGAGAGAACUGGAUACCAAGAUCAUGGCGUACUGUGUCUAAUCCAAUGCAUAGAUUAUGCUUUUCAGGUCUCACAAGCAGGAGGCUGCAGGGUUCACAGGAAGGCUUCCACCUGUCUAAGAACCUGCUAGGCACCUGCCCCAAGUGACAUCUCCCAGGAUGUCCUUGCAGUAACAGAGAGGCUCUAGUUCCUGGCCCCCAAGAUAUCAUGGUUAUCAUGGUUCUACAAGUAUUGGCGAGCUGAGCCCCUGUGGCCUGUGACUGCAACAGACGGUCCAUUCCUCUAGUAUGAUUUAACAGCUUCCACUUGCUCAUCUGACACAGCUGGAAGUUAGUGUCACCAUGUGUACUCCAAGUGAUGGGUGUAGUCCUGAAAUGUGAGCUCAGGAAACGAGGGCAGAGAACACAACAGACAAGCACAUGCCCCCUAGGCUCCUGUCCGUAGACACACAGAAAAGGAGAUGUGGAGUAUCAUACAGCCGUAAGAAGAAUGAGAACUGGCUAUUUGAAACAGAGUGGAUAGAAAUGAAUGUCAUGCUAAGCAAAACAAGACAGACCACAAACAAAGGGCAAGAGCAAGUAUUGUGUUUGCUUUCCAGUGUGCAAAUGAAGAUCAGCCACAUCAGGAAUUAGACCUGGAGAAAGACAGGAACAAAAAAAUGGAGCAGAGACCGAAGGAAAGGCCAUCCAGAGACUGCCCCACCUGGGGAUCCAUCCCAUCUGCAGACACCAAACCCCCACACUAUUGCUGAUGCCAAGAAGAGCUUGCUGACAGGAACCUGGUAUGGCUGUCCCUUGAGAGGUUCUACCAGCACCUGACCAAUACAGAUGCAGACACUCACAGACAACCAUCAGACUGAGCUUGGAGACCCCAAUGGAAAAUCUUUUUAUUGCUUUUUAAAGAAAACUAUUUUAAAGGUUAUUUGAAUACAAAGUGGAUGAAGAAGAAUUAAAAGGAAACUACCGGUGAGUCACAAUCAUGACUGAAAGGCAGCAGGCCAAAAGAGUUAGAAACCACAAUGGGCCUGGCUCGCAGAGCUCUCCGAGAGCCAGUACAGGAACGUGAUGUGGGAAGAAAAAUGAUGAUCUUCCUUAGGGACCAGACGGGAGGCAAGAGGCUUAAGUUCCAGCAUGAGGGAUUUAGAUAACCGAAAAGGAAAAAUUUUCAGACAGUGAGGUUUGAUAGACACUGGAAUGUGUAACUGGGGAAGCUUAUGGAAUUUCCUACUCUCAAGGCCUUUUAAAAAUAGACAGCAUCUCAUCUGCUUGAAGGAUGGACUCUAUUUGACCCCCGAAGUGUCUACUGGGCCCAGGGGGAGAAGAUUACCUCCCAAAGGAAAGAGAACCUGAGUGAUCUUGGGGAAUGAUGAAAAUAUUGUGAACAUUUUUCACAUUUAAUUUGAUUUCCACAUGACACAUAUGCAAAUUAUAACUGCCAUAGUAUGCCUUUUGGUGAAAUGCUUUUAUUUUUAAUGUCUGGAGAUUAGAGUCUAAGUAAAACUCUUACAGGGAGAGAAGGCAGAACUAGUUUUGAGCUUAUUCGUAUAGGUCUAUGAGCAAGGAGAAAAGGAUAUUUUGGACCUCUUUGACUUUGAUUUCACUUCCUAUCCUAAAUUGAAAAUUAUUGCCCUUUUUAUUGGCUUUGAUAUUUUGAAGGGAAACUAAAAGAUUAAUUUAGUGCAAGAGUUUCUCACAGUGUUUUUGGCAAGACUAGCGUUCCAAGCUGGGCCAGGUUCUCUGUACUUAAUUUCCUCUCAGGAAGUUUACCUCCAAAAGUCCAAAUAUAAGGUCAAACUUUGGGUUGCCGGAAAUGUUAAUGUCCUUUACUGUCUGAGCACCCAGACAGCCCUCAGCGAGGUAGUCUACUUUGUGGACAUUGGUAAGGAUGCAAAUGCCUUAUAAUGAUUUAGCUGCUUCCUUCCUGCUUAUUAAAAAAUGAGCUUGGAGAUCUUUACCCAGCCUUCUAAAAUUCAUAAAUUCUAUUCUCCACACAUAAGAAGUUUUCUACAUUCUCUGGAUUCAGUUGAGUGUACACAUCUAGUUAUAAGUGAUAUAACCUGUCUUCCUUCUUAAACAGCAAGGCUUGCUCCAGGCCAAAGAGGAAGCACUUGUUAAACUUAUUGUCUACUUUAAGCAAACAGCUCUAGUGUGUUGCAAACACGAUUUCUCUCUGUUUUAGGUGACCCAAUGACACCUAAUGGUUACAGCACAUUGUCACAUACCUCUUGUCUAAGUGGUUAUGAUUCUAAGGAGAAGCUUGUAAAUGUUAUGAACAUGUAGGUAUGAAGACGGAGAUCUUGUAAGAGGAUGUGAUUUGCUUAGGGUCUCAAGACUAGAAACUAUAAAGUACCCAGGAAGUACAAGAUUCUGGGGACCAUUUUUGACAUCAGAGCCUGGGUCUUUCCCACUGUAUAAUGCUGUGAUAUUCGAGUGACUUGUAAUGUUGUUCACCACUGAAGAGAUCUUUGGCUUACUCAUCAAAGUCACGUUGGAUACAAUGGGACUGAAGUCUCUACCACUAAACAGAAGGUUGUGUUUGUUGUUGCCCAGACACAGGAAGUAAACACCAUAAGUUUUCAACAUACUCUGGCGUUUCCCAUGGUAAGCCAUUUCUCAUAGCAUUCUCAUAGCAGGGAGGUGAUGGCCCAUUCUAAUCCACGCCAGUUACUAGUGCUUGAACGACAUUAGAAGGUACAAAACACAGCUUAAUAUUGCAUCAGCUUCUGACAAAAUGUUGAAUCCAUCUCUUAUAAUUCCUGGCACACGGUUGUGGGUGUCACUGGGGGGCAUGGUGGCUUUAUUUCCUUCCCUAACAGUUCGGAAGUUUGUUUAAUACUGACUCAGAGGAAGCAUUCUAGCUGAGUCCUCACAUGGCCUUGUUUACAGCUCCGGAGUGUACAUAAUAGAUAAAGAACUGACUUCCACAUACCCCUGCGCUUCCUGGGUGUGUGGGCGAGUGUGCUUGAGCCUGUGAAACCGGGUUGUGCAAUCUCCUGCUCGGGCGCAUCAGGUUGCAGCCACCCCACAUCCCUUAAAUAUUCCUCUGAGUGAGCCUAAUGUUUCACAAACUGAAGACCAAUGUAUUCUCUAGAGGUGCCAGUAAUUAAUAAUUAACUUGAAGAAAAAUCCCAUGAGUCUCUAGAUGGUCAAAACAGAGGUGGUGGCUGAGUGUAAAAAACAAAACAACAGUGGAGAAACAGAAAUGUAUUCAAAACAGAUAAACACUCUUUCAGCAGCAGGACCUCCCUGUUUUGAUUGUAAUUGUAGCUGGCAUUUAUAUACAGUCCAGUCUGGGGCAAGGAUUUUUGUUUUACCAGUAUUAUUUUCCUUGAUUCUUGUGCUAGCCUUUAUGGGUAAAUAUAAGCUAAUGCACUUUUAUAGGCUGGUCAGAUCAGAGGAUUUUUAUAAAAGUAUCCUGAGUUAGACUGAUAGUAACUGUUGGUGUAGUUAGUCUGAUAGUAACUAUUAGAAUAAGGAGAGGGACCAGAACUGUUUGACUUUCAAGGCUCUCCCCACUAGUCUAUGUGUUAUUCUUCUUUGGAUAUGACUUUGCACAAAUCUUCAUUGAGUUAGUUUAAAAAAAAAAGGUACAAUAUAAUCCAUUAGAAGAACUUUCUGGAUUUAUGAAGGGUCAGACUAAAGGCUUUGGAGGAUGGUUGCAUGUUUCUCCUGGGCCUGGAGAAAGGGGAAUGGAUACUUUUGAAACAUCUAUGAAAUUAUCUAUGAGCUGUCUCUGGAGCACAGUGCAGGACUGAUAACUUGCGUCCCAAAUAGAUGUCCAGUAGUACAUAUUAGAAACACAUUCUCUUUUUACCAAACCUUUGCAUCAAAAUUAGGUGACACAGUGCUCACUAAAUUUAAAGAUCUUUCUAAAGCUUACUUUUAAAGGUGUCGUAAUCGUUCACUUUUUCCCCUCUGUUUUACAGCUGCUGCUGAAUUACGAGGCUUGCUGAAUCAUCUGCAGAAGAUAGCGUUGUUUUUGCAAAAUAAAAGAAAUGUCGGGUAUA